rnacentral:rRNA from 1 species
UUGGAGGGCAAGUCUGGUGCCCGCAGCCGCGGUAAUUCCAGCUCCAAUAGCGUAUAUUAAAGUUGUUGCAGUUAAAAAGCUCGUAGUUGAAUUUCGAGACCGGUUUACUGGUCGUGCUUUUGUACGUACUGGUAUUAUUGGAUUCUCCUUUCUGACGAAUCUUAAUGCCAUUAAUUUGGUGUUUUGGGGAAUCAGGACUGUUACUUUGAAAAAAUUAGAGUGUUUAAAGCAGGCUCACGCUUGAAUACAUUAGCAUGGAAUAACGGAAUAGGACGUUUGAUUUUAUUUUGUUGGUUUCUAGGAUCGACGUAAUGAUUAAUAGGGAUAGUUGGGGGCAUUAGUAUUCAAUUGUCAGAGGUGAAAUUCUUGGAUUUAUUGAAGACUAACUACUGCGAAAGCAUUUGCCAAGGAUGUUUUCAUUAAUCAAGAACGAAAGUUAGGGGAUCAAAGACGAUCAGAUACCGUCGUAGUCUUAACCAUAAACUAUGCCGACUAGGGAUCGGACGAAGUUAAUUUUAUAAUGACGCGUUCGGCGCCUUACGGGAAAC